GUCUACGGCUAUGCUACCCUGAACAAGCCCGAUCCCAUCUGAUCUCAGAAGCUAAGCAGGAUGGGGCCUGGUUAGUACUUGGAUGGGAGACCACCUAGGAAGACCAGGUGCUGUAGGCA
rnacentral:rRNA from 1 species